UGGGAAGCCAACAACCUUCAGCAUGGGCGUC
rnacentral:piRNA from 1 species